rnacentral:rRNA from 1 species
ACUCCUACGGGAGGCAGCAGUGAGGAAUUUUCUGCAAUGGGCGAAAGCCUGACAGAGCGAUACCGCGUGAGGGAUGAAGACUUACUGAGUUGUAAACCUCGGUACCUUAAGGAAGAAGAUAUGACGGUACUUAAGGUGGAAAGCAUCGGCUAACUCCGUGCCAGCAGCCGCGGUAAU